AAACCAAUAAAGUUUUCUUUAUUGGGGUUGCGGACAUAUCAUAACGAAGAGGUAUCGUAAUUGAAGAGGUUUGGAAAGACCCACCACAGAAGGUAAUAGUCCUGUAUGUUAAACGAGAAGACUUUAGAUAUGAUCCAGAGUACCACGGGACACGUGAAACCCUGUGGGAAGCAGGAGGGACCACCCUCCAAGGCUAAAUACUACCUAGUGACCGAUAGCGUAUAGUACCGUGAGGGAAAGGUGAAAAG
rnacentral:rRNA from 1 species